rnacentral:ncRNA from 13 species
UCUACAGUGCACGUGUCUCCAGU